rnacentral:rRNA from 1 species
GACGAACGCUGGCGGCGUGCUUAACACAUGCAAGUCGAACGGAAAGGCCUCUUUCGGGGGGUACUCGAGUGGCCAACGGGUGAGUAACACGUGAGUAACCUGCCCUUGACUUUGGGUUAGCUUACGGCAACUGGGGGUAAUACCGAAUAGGAACUCCUGCUGCCUGGAGGGGGCUGGAGAGUUUCGGGGGUUGGGGGUGGGUUGGCGGGGUAUCAGCUUGUCGGUGGGUAAUUGGUUUACCAAGGUGUUACCGGGUCGCCGGCCAGUGGGGGUGACAGGCGACAUUGGGACUGAGAGACGGCACAGAUAGCUACGGGAGGGAGCAGUGGGGAAGAUUGAACAAUGGGUGGAAGCCGGAUGCAGCAAGGCCGCGUGCGGUAUGACGGCCUUAGGGUUGUAAACCGCUUUUGCUCAUGACGAAGCUUUGUGUGACGGUAGUGGGUAAAGAAGCACCGGCUAACUACGUG